ensembl:lncRNA
UUUUUUUUUUUUUUUUUUAAAGGAGAUGGGAUCUUGCUCUGUUGCCCAGAUGGGAGUGCAGUGGCAUGAUCAUAGCUGACUGCAGCCUCAAACUCCUGGGCUCAAGUGACCCAUCUUGGCCUCCUAAGUAACUGGGACUAUAGGCAUGUACCACCUGGCCUAGCUAAUUUUUAAAUUUUUUGUUAAGAUGGAUUCUCCCUGUGUUGCCCAGGCUGAUCGUGAACUCCUGGCUUCAAGUGAUCCUCCUGCCUCAGCCUCUUUGUAAUCCCAGACUGUUGGGAUUACAGGCAUGAGCCACUGUCUCUGGCAGUGCACUUUAUUUUCGGUAAACUCUGGUAAUGUGUUUAUCAGAAAGCCUUAGGGCUUGACCUGCACACAUUUUCUUGGUACUUUGCUUCUUGCAGUUCUUUUCAUACUCUAGGGACUUUAUUGCCAUAUUUUCUUUACUAUGGUGAAAUAUCUAGUAUUUCAUUCUGGUAUUCUGAAGAAAGUUUUCCCAUUUUAUUAAGAUAUAAAUCAUAUUCCAUAAGUCACCCUAUUAAAGUGUACAAUUUGGCAGCUUUUGGUAUAUUCACAAAGUUGUACGACUGUCACCAGUGUGUAAUAUCAGACUGUUUUGUUUCCUCAAAAAGAAAUUCCAUGCCUGUUAGCAGUCGCUCCCCAUUCCUCCCUUCCUCAGCCACAGGCAAUGACUAAUCUACCUGCUGUCUCUAUGGAUUUGCCUAUUUUGUACAUUUCCUAUAAGUGAAAUCAUACAAUAUUUCACCUUUUGUCUGACUUGUUUCACUUAGUGUAAUGUUUUUGAGGUUCAUCCAUGUUGUAGUAUGUAUCAGUAUUUGUUUCCUUUUUAUGGCCAAAUAAUGUCCCACUGUAAUCCAUUUUGACUAUUAUGAGUAAUGCUUCUCUGAACAUUCAUGUACAAGUUUUUGCAUGGACAUAUGUUUUCAUUUGUCUUGAGUAUAUGAAUUGAUAUACUCAAUUGAUAAUUGAGGGGUCAUAUGAUAAUUGUGUUUAACAUUGUGAGAACCGCAAAACUGUUUACCAAAGUGGCUACACCAUUUUGCAUUCCCACCAGCAGCGUAUGAGGGUUCUGAUUUCUCCACAUCCUUCAGUGAAGUGGCAUCUCACUAUAAUUUUGAUUUGCAUUUCCCUAAUGACUGUGUUGAACAGUUUUGCAUAUGCUUUUUGGUCAUUUGUACAUUUUCCUUAAAGAAAUGUCUCUUCAGAUGUUUUGCUUAUUUUUAAAUUGUGUUGCCUUUUUGUUAUUGAAUUGUAAGAAUUCUUUAUAUAUUCUGGAUGCAAGUCCUUUAUCAGAUAUAGGAUUUGCAAAUAUGUUCUCCCAUCCUGUAGUUUCUCUUUUUACUUUCUUGGUGGUUAUUUUUUGAGGGACAAAAGUUUCUAAUUUUGAUGAAGUCCCAUUUAUUGAUUUUGUUCUUUCUUAUGCUUUUGGUGCCAUAUCGAAGAAACUGUUGUUUAAUCCAAGGUCACAAAAAUUUAUGUCUUUUUUUCCUAAGAGUUUUAGUGCUUACAUUUAGGUCUUUGAUAUAUUUUUAGUUAAUUUUUCUAUAUGGUAUGAGGUAGAUCCCAAUUUUUUUUACAGUGGGGGCAAAAGCUCACUAUCUUCCAAAUACGUACAUCAGUAGCACUUUCAGUUUCCACCUUGCUUGAUGAUAUUUUAAUCAUUACAUGAUUCUGCCACUUCAUUUGUUUCACCCUCGACUCCCUGCUGAGUAUUUGCUGUACCAAAACUAUACUAACUUUUGCACUUAUCGUAGAAUGUGAAAGUUAGGAAGAUGUUUAUUGAUUAUGCAGUUGAAUCUCUAUUGGAGUAGAACCCCCUGCAUCUGUGACAGAAGAGCUUUCAACUUCUGGAACAGUUUUAGAGGUGGUUAGUUCACUGAAGUGUGCUGUGUUAUAAUACAAUAGUUGUAUUAAGAAGUCUUACCUAUUCAAACAUCAUUUUAUAAAUAAAAAAAGUUUCAGAGGGAACAGGUGUUUAGGAACUCAAUAGUUUUAAUAAGUUAUUUUGCUUUUAGCAGUUUAAAUUAAAGAGAGUUGGUGAUUGCAUCAAAACCCACAGUGUUUUAUAAUUAAAUGAGAACUUUAUAUCCACCAGUGUAGUAGGAGAAAUGCUUGUAUUCCUAAAGCAAUUCAGGUCAGUUUUUAAAAGCUCUAAUGGCUAGAAAGCUUAUUCUUUUGUUGAGUUGGAAUGUUGGCCUUGGUAAUGACUACCCAUUUUAUCAAGGUCCUCUUAAAACUCAGCGUCUAAAAUUAAACUUCACUUAUGUGCAGAGUGGUGCAGAGUGUAAUUGGCUGAUAGUUUUUUUGUUUUUCCUUUUCAUAUAACCCAGAAUUAAGCUGUUAUUGGAAGCCAUGCUAUCUUUGGGGCUCAUCUGGAGUUUGUUAUCAGUGAAACCCCUCUCUAACAAGAGUUUCUAAGUGCGUCUCCUGUUCCUUUGAAACAAUUGUGAAAUGUGCUUUGCAUCUAUAGAUCUGGACUCAUCUCUGUGACUUCUUGGCUGUGUCACCUUAGCCAGAACACCCAGUUUCUUUGAUCUCAACUCGCUUUUCUGUUGAAUGGAGUUAAUUCCUCCAUUUUUGCAGUAUUGGAUGAUUAAAUGAAAUGAUUUGUGUGUGUGGGUGCGUAUGGCUCUAGUGAUGAAAGUAAGGCUUGUGAAAACAGCCUUCUGUCACAGGUACUUCUUUGCUGGCCUUACUUAGUCAGAUAUUAGCUAUUUGUUAGCAUCCGUCCAGUUCAGAUGUCUUUAUAUCCUGAAUUGAUAGGAAGUAUUUCAAACAUGCAGAAAAGAAUAAAUAGUGGAAAAAUAAUUCUGUGCACCUUCUGCCCAAUUUAGAUCUUAACAUUUUGCCUUAUUUCAGAUUUUUUAAAAAAGAAGUAAAACAUUGUGGAGUUGAACCUUCUGUGUACCCUCUUUCUUUUACCUCUUCCCCAUUCCCCAGAGGAAACAUUGUUCUGAAUAUAUUUGUACCUAUACAUAAUGUAAUUGUUUUGCAUGUUUUAAACCUCAAAUACAUACUAUACUGCAAUACGCUCUUGCAGUAGCCUUUUUUUUCUCAUCCUUUUUUUUCCUGCGAUUUCUGUUUCAUGGCUACAUCACAAUUUAUUUACUCAUGCUCCUCUGGGUGGUUAUUAAGUAAUUUCCAUGUUUUAUUAUUGGACAAUGCUAUAGUCAACAUUCCUGAACAUAUUGCUUGCUUGAGCCACCGCGCCCGGCACGUAUGUGCAUUUCUGUAGAGAGCUUGGAAGGAGAGAGUGUGUGUGUGUGCGUGCACACACAUGUACAUGUGCGCUUGCAUAUACGAUUGGAAUCUCUGGUUGAAAAGUAUAUGCAUCUUCAACUUUGGAGAAUAAUUU